AUUGAACGCUGGCGGCAUGCCUUACACAUGCAAGUCGAACGGUAACAGGUCUUCGGAUGCUGACGAGUGGCGAACGGGUGAGUAAUACAUCGGAACGUGCCCGAUCGUGGGGGAUAACGGAGCGAAAGCUUUGCUAAUACCGCAUACGAUCUACGGAUGAAAGCAGGGGACCGCAAGGCCUUGCGCGGACGGAGCGGCCGAUGGCAGAUUAGGUAGUUGGUGGGAUAAAAGCUUACCAAGCCGACGAUCUGUAGCUGGUCUGAGAGGACGACCAGCCACACUGGGACUCAGACACGGCCCAGACUCCGACGGGAGGCAGCAGUGGGGAAUUUUGGACAAUGGGCGCAAGCCUGAUCCAGCCAUGCCGCGUGCAGGAUGAAGGCCUUCGGGUUGUAAACUGCUUUUGUACGGAACGAAAAGACUCUGGUUAAUACCUGGGGUCCAUGACGGUACCGUAAGAAUAAGCACCGGCUAACUACGUGCCAGCCGCCGCAGUAA
rnacentral:rRNA from 1 species